AACUAACCAGGAUUCCCUCAGUAACGGCGAGUGAAGCGGGAAAAGCUCAGACUUAUAAUCUUCGGAAAUGUAGUCUGUUGAGACCACGCCAGUUCUUGACGGAGGGUUAAAUCCCCUGGAAUGGGGUACAAGAUAGGGUGAAAGUCCCAUUCAAGCCUUCUGUCUGAGUGUACGGCCAGUCUUCAUUGAGUCGAGUUGCUUGGGAUUGCAGCUCAAAGUGGGUGGUAAAUUCCAUCUAAAGCUAAAUAUAGGUGAGAGACCGAUAGCAAACAAGUACCGUGAGGGAAAGAUGAAAAGAACUUUGAAAAGAGAGUUAAAGAGUACCUGAAAUUGCUAGAAUGGAACCGAUGGGAAGUAGUGUUGCGGGCGACAUUGUCCAACUUGUUUACAAGCUGGAAAUUUUGUUGCAUAGCAAGUCAUUCUCGAUUACUUCCGCCAAAGACCACCUCGAACUGUAUAGUUCAAGGAACCCUUGUGGGAUGGAUCGAAAUUGACGAAAUACUUCUCAUCAUCCCGUCUUGAAACACGGACCAAGGAGUCUAACAUGUCUGCAAGUGCUUGGAGUUUACCUCCGUGCGCGAAAUUAACGUAAAGUCGGACUUGUCCGAUGAGGUAGGAAAUUUGCACUAUCGACCGACCAUGCUCCUACGGGAAAAAGGUUUGAGUGUGAGCACACAUGUUGGGACCCGAAAGAUGGUGAACUAUGCUUGAGUAGGACGAAGCCAGGGGAAACUCUGGUGGAGGUCCGUCGCGAUUCUAACGUGCAAAUUGAUCGUCGAACUUGGGUAUAGGGGCGAAAGACUAAUCGAACCAUCUAGUAGCUGGUUCCUCCCGAAAUUUCCCUCAGGAUAGCUGCAACCGAACAGUUUUAUCAGGUAAAGCGAAUGAUUAGAGGCCUCAGGGGUGGAACGUCCUUGACCUAUUCUCAAACUUUAAAUGGGUAAGAACCCGGAGUUGCUUAAUUGAACUCUGCGGUCGAAUGACGGUUGCUAGUGGGCCAAUCUGGGUAAGCUAGAUUGGCGAUGCGGGAUGAACCGAACGCUGAGUUAAAGUGCCAAAAUGUCCGCUAACCUAGACCCCACAAAAGGUGUUGGUUCAUUAAGACAGCAGGACGGUGGCCAUGGAAGUCGGAAACCGCUAAGGAGUGUGUAACAACUCACCUGCCGAAUGAACUAGCCCUGAAAAUGGAUGGCGCUAAAGCGGAAUACUUAUACUCAGCCAACCCCGCAAGUACAAUGCGGUGUUGAGUAGGGGGGCGUGGAGCUUGCUGUGCAUUCUUUGGCGUGAGCCAGGAUGAAGCGAGCUCUAGUGCAGAUCUUGGUAGCAGUAGCAAAUAUUCAAAUGAGAACUUUGAAGACUGACGUGGAGAAAGGUUCCAUGUGAACAGUAAUUGGACAUGGGUUAGUCGACCCUUAGAGAUAAGAAAAUUCUGUUUGAAAUAAAUCCUUUCUCGGAAGGGUUUGCUUAUCGAAAGGGAAUCAGGUUAAUAUUCCUGAACCGAGACGUGGAUAUUGAGUGGUAACACAAGCAAAAUCGGAGACGUUGGCGAGAGCCCCGGGAAUAGUUCUCUUUUCUUCUUAACAACUCUGUAGACCUUGGAAUCGGAUUGCCCGGCGGUAAGGUUUACAGGUUGGAAAAGCGACAUAAUUUUUGUGUCGUCCGGUGCGCUCUCGACGACCCUUGAAAAUCCGGUGGCGUGACUUAUUUACACCCUCGGUCGUACUCAUAACCGCCUCAGGUCUCCAAGGUGAGCAGCCUCUAGUCAAUAGAAUAAUGUAGAUAAGGGAAGUCGGCAAAAUAGAUCCGUAACCUCGGGAUAAGGAUUGGCUCUGAGGGUUGGGCCUAGGGGUCUCUGAAUCGAUAGAAGUGGCGGCUGGGAGAGGACUGCGGCUUCGCGGCUGCGGACUUCAUUCGGCUGCUCUCUUGAAGUUUGGAGAACGUCUUCGGACUUUCCCUAGUGCGUGGAACAACCAACUCAGAACUGGAGCGGACAAGGGGAAUCCGACUGUUUAAUUAAAACAAAGCAUUGCGAUGGCUGGAGACGGUGUUGACGCAAUGUGAUUUCUGCC
rnacentral:rRNA from 1 species